UACGUAGGGGGCAAGCGUUGUCCGGAUUUAUUGGGCGUAAAGAGCGUGUAGGCGGCCAGGUAGGUCUGCUGUGAAAACUCGAGGCUUAACCUCGAGCUGUCGGCGGAAACCAUCUGGCUAGAGUCCGGAAGAGGAGAAUGGAAUUCCCGGUGUAGAGGUGAAAUUCGUAGAUAUCGGGAGGAACACCAGUGGCGAAGGCGGCGACCUGGGCAGAUACUGACGCUGAGGUGCGAAAGCGUGGGGAGCAAACAGG
rnacentral:rRNA from 1 species